AUUGAACGCUGGCGGCAGGCCUAACACAUGCAAGUCGAGCGGUUGACGGGAGCUUGCUCCCUGAUUCAGCGGCGGACGGGUGAGUAAUGCCUAGGAAUCUGCCUAUUAGUGGGGGACAACGUUUCGAAAGGAACGCUAAUACCGCAUACGUCCUACGGGAGAAAGCAGGGGACCUUCGGGCCUUGCGCAAAUAGAUGAGCCUAGGUCGGAUUAGCUUGUGGGUGAGGUAAUGGCUCACCAAGGGGACGAUCCGUAACUGGUCUGAGAGGAUGAUCAGUCACACUGGAACUGAGACACGGUCCAGACUCCUACGGGAGGCAGCAGUGGGGAAUAUUGGACAAUGGGCGAAAGCCUGAUCCAGCCAUGCCGCGUGUGUGAAGAAGGUCUUCGGAUUGUAAAGCACUUUAAGUUGGGAGGAAGGGUUGUAGAUUAAUACUCUGCAAUUUUGACGUUACCGACAGAAUAAGCACCGGCUAACUCUGUGCCAGCAGCCGCCGCCGUAA
rnacentral:rRNA from 1 species